CAGUGAUGUACACCAUGACAAAAACCUCCUCACUGCUCACACUCACUUCUGCUUUCACACAACACCAGAAAGAACAAAAACCUCAACUUCAAAUCAUUGGAACUGAAGUGGAAACUCACUUAAUGUUCACUGAAGACACUUUGAAUUCUUCCCAUUUAAAGAUCACAGAUACGUACGGAAUCCUCGUCUUAUGCCGUCUCGUCUCGUGUUGUGAUUUGUGGCAGACAGAAGUGUUGACAAUGUGAACAGUAAUUGGUAGAAACUGGUUCCAGGUGCAGCCACAGCUGGUCCUUAGGGGCAGAUAUACUGAUGACCUGUAUGAUGUGAAAUCCAAGAGCGACUGAUCAUAAUUACACCAAGUUUGGAUCAGGUUGAACACAGACCACAUCUGACCAGCAACAGUUCCUCAGUGUGACUUGAUCAGAGCUGAAGAUCUCGUGGAUGUGUUUAAGUGAUUCUUCUCCUGUUCACAUUUCUACUUCAUGUUGCACCAGUGGAGUCUUCAAACAGAGAAGUGCAGCAGGAAUGGAUCAAAUUCAGGCUUCAUGCUGCUUAAUAAAAUUCUACCGGAUGGAUUCUGUGA